UUAUGUCACUGGAAAAUUACAGAUGUGCUAGCUCUUGCAGAUCAGAUGCCAAAGUGUUUGUGCAGUUUUUUUGGUUAAAUGUCCAGAAAAGUGGGGCUGCAUUUUGUGUGGUGACUCUUCUCACUAACAUUAAGCCCCACUUGACACACUGAUCAGACUUCCCACUACCUUGGCCUUCCUCCUUAUAGUUUGUACUGUUUUCUUCCCACAUUGAGGCAGGAGGGAAAGCUGAUUUUUUUGGUUAGCCUUCUGGCAUAGCAUGGUGAUGCAUUAAGCAUUUAGGAUGCUUUUGAUACUGUUACAAUUUCAGGUGGCCACUCAGGAAGAAGCAGUUGUCACAGGUACGUCUUUCCAGGGAUUCAAAUCAUCUCUGAAGGUAAAACCCUCACAGACAUGAGGACACUGAAGUCCUUCAGAGCAUGGCCAUAGGGGUUGCUGGUCACCAUUUCAACAGCUCUAAAACUGGAUGUUGCAGGUGUCCUGCAUUGACAGCUGCAAUUUUACUGAUACUGUGAAGCACAGGAUGUUCACUCUCAUUACGUUUCAAGACACAGGAAAUGCAGCUCAGUAUCUGAAUGCAUAAGAAGGAAGGAGCCUUAUAAAGUUGAAGGGUUAAAGAAGCCUGUUGACACCAGUACACACCGAUAUAUAAAAAUCAAUUACAGACUUCAAUACUUAUAUGUGCUGGCUUCCAACCCCCAGUGAGGAGGUUCCCAAAUGGGAAGUGAAGAACUGCCGGCCACUUGGAUCCUUAUUGUGAAGACUCACUGAAGAGAAGCAUGCAAAACACUAGGUGCUGCAUUCAAACCUUUGAAUCAGAAUGGAUAUUGACAGUAGGUGUUUUGCCUUGGAUGACAAGCAUGACAAAGUGUAAAAUCAUGUCCUAGACAUUCUGGUAUGUGCUCAUAUCCUGGAAUGAUCUCAUUUUAAGGAACGUGAUUGUGAUUUCCAGCACUACAAGCUGAAAUCAGGAUUUGGUUAUAUCUGCCAUAUGCCAUGUGAAAUACUGUCUGAAUUUCAGCUUGUGCCAAUACAUCUUCAUAGCCAAUGCUGGGAAACAUCACCAAUUACUGUGUCUGUUUACAGAGCACAAGAACAGAAUAUUUAAUUUUACCAACUCUAAGGACAGCAAGGCUUAAUUUGAACUCUGGUUAAAGUUUUGCUGAUUACUCCUGACCUUUCUGGGGCAAAGACAUGAAGGUCACUGGAGUCAUGACUUUUUUCACAUUCUGCUUGUCUUUGUCAUUCCCCUAAUAAUGCAGAGGACUAGAAACAAGAGCUGGGUGGUGUUUUUUUUCCCCCUGCCUGGAAUCUAUUUAGAUUAGUCACCAGGUUUUCCAGUCUACGGUCAUUGAAGGUCAUUUGGUUUACAGCUGAAAUUCUCAAUUGGAACCUCAUCUUGUAAUCAGAACUUAAAACCCAAGUGAGGUUUUGUAUCUCCUCUGAAAGGGUAGGUUGUUGUGUGAUUAGCUUCAGAAUGUUAAAUGGACUGUCUGUGUAAUGAUGGGUAAUUUUGGGGGGCUUAAAUUACUCUGUGAGGAGACCUGUCUUGAAUAAUAAUAUUGGGCUAUAUUACAAAGUACAGUAUUCUAGGCUUCUCCUAAAUGCUAAUUCUAUUACACAUUAACAUUUCCUUUGCUGUAAAAUGGCAAAAGGCAAGCCAGCAAGAUGUAAAAAUCUUGUAAAGAGCAUUUUCUCUUAUAGACCAUUCCUAAGAGCAGGCAGUUUCCUGAAAACGUCCCUUAAAUAAGCAUUCACUUACAGUGGUCAUCAUCAUACAGUCAGCAUCUGCUAAUAGCUGUUCCACAGCCUCAGCUGCUGGCAAACACAGAGUAUUUGUUGUAAUCUACAGAGUGAUGGAGAUGCCUAUAUAAAUUUUGCACUGUUGUUUUUUGGUUUUUUUUUAAACUAUUCUUGGCCCUAAGUAUGAAGCAUCAGCCACACAUUGUAGAGGUACUCCUAGGGGCUGUUCACAAAGCCUGGUGUCCUGUACGUUCUUUGGUUUGGUAAGACUACUGGUGAGAAUCUGAAAGCCCUCUUUAAUUUUUUUGUUGAUUGAUUGAUUAUUUUAAAUCUCUUUGGUCUAUGUGCAACUCAAACACAAAUAUUUACAUUUACAUGUAUGCAUGUGUGUAUAUAAAUAACUAAAACUGAAGUCUCCUUGAAGGAAACAAUCCACCCCUGCCAUGAUAUUGUUAGUGAGGACAGUAUUUAGCUUUGUUAGGGGAAACAAGUUUUUUGGCCAACAUCUCCUGAUAUACAAGCUGACCUUUGAUUUCUACUAACCCAUGGAUGGCUUCAGCAUGUUCCAUCUCCCUGUUUGUCCCAGUUGCUGCCUUCCUUUCUGUAUUUCCAUUUGACCUGCAUGUUUGGAUAAAAGCAGGAGGUUAUCCUGUGUAGGGAUGUGUGUCAGACACUGCCCUGUACAGGAACAACUUGAUGAGUGUUUCCAGUUGGAUAUCACCCCACAGUGCCCCAGCAUCCCACCAUGACCUGUGAUGUCAGCGCAUUGCUUGUUCCAGCAGACAUUACUGUCUCUCUUACUGGCAAGCUGGACAUUUCCAGAACAUCUCUGUGGGCAAAUGGUGCAUCCCCAUCUUGGCUCCAUUCUUAAGGAGUCUGAAUCACCCUUUGGACACUCCAUCUUGAUUCCCCCCUGGUCCUGCAGGAGCUGGCAUCACCCAGUUCUUAAUCUCUUCUCCAGAAGCACUAAACUCUAAUGCCAGAUUACCU